rnacentral:rRNA from 1 species
ACAAGCGGUGGAUGAUGUGGUUUAAUUCGAUGCAACGCGAAAACCUUACCACCUUGACAUGUACGGAAGCCUUAGAGAUAGAGGCGUGCUCGAAAGAGAGCCGUAACACAGGUGCUGCAUGGCUGUCGUCAGCUCGUGUCGUGAGAUGUUGGGUUAAGUCCCGCAACGAGCGCAACCCUUGUCAUUAGUUGCUACAUUCAGUUGGGCACUCUAAUGAGACUGCCGGUGACAAGCCGGAGGAAGGUGGGGAUGACGUCAAGUCCUCAUGGCCCUUAUAGGUGGGGCUACACACGUCAUACAAUGGCUGGUACAAAGGGUUGCCAACCCGCGAGGGGGAGCUAAUCCCAUAAAGCCAGUCGUAGUCCGGAUCGUAGUCUGCAACUCGACUACGUGAAGUCGGAAUCGCUAGUAAUCGUGGAUCAGAAUGUCACGGUGAAUACGUUCCCGGGUCUU